UUAUGGCUCAGGACGAACGCUGGCGGCGUGCUUAACACAUGCAAGUCGAACGGGGAUAUGCGAGCGGAAGGCUUCGGCCGGAAGGUUGCAUAUUCGAGUGGCGGACGGGUGAGUAACGCGUGAACAAUCUGUCCCAGACAGGGGGAUAACACUUGGAAACAGGUGCUAAUACCGCAUAAGACCACGGAGUCGCAUGGCACUGAGGUAAAAGGAGGAAUCCGGUUUGGGGUGAGUUCGCGUCCGAUUAGCCAGUUGGUGAGGUAACGGCCCACCAAAGCGACGAUCGGUAGCCGACCUGAGAGGGUGAUCGGCCACAUUGGAACUGAGAGACGGUCCAAACUCCUACGGGAGGCAGCAGUGGGGAAUAUUGGGCAAUGGGGCCGAAAGCCUGACCCAGCAACGCCGCGUGAGUGAAGAAGGCCUUCGGGUUGUAAAGCUCUGUUAUAGGGGACGAAGGAAGUGACGGUACCCUAUAAGGAAGCCCCGGCUAACUACGUGCCAGCCGCGGC
rnacentral:rRNA from 1 species